rnacentral:rRNA from 1 species
UACAGAGGUCUCGAGCGUUAAUCGGAGUCACUGGGCUUAAAGGGUGCGUAGGCGGCGCCGCAAGUGCCUUGUGAAAUCCACGGCUCAACCGUGGAAUUGCUCGGCAGACUGCGGCGCUUGAGGUGGUAGGGGUCGCUGGAACUCUAGGUGGAGCGGUGAAAUGCGUAGAUAUCUAGAGGAACGCCAAAGGUGAAGACAGGCGACUGGGCCGAUUCUGACGCUGGAGGCACGGAAAGCGUGGGGAGCGAACGGG